GUGCCUGAGGGAACCCCCAGGACAUCCUGGCCUCUGAGGGCUCAAGACUUGGGGGAUAACUACAGGUGAGACAGCUGUGGUUUCCCAGAGGGCACUCAUGAGAGGCCAUCAACACUGAGAAAGGAGCAGAGUCUGUGAGCACCAGGUGCAGAGAGAGGAAGAGGAUAGGGAAAAGCAUGGAGUCCCUUAGGUGUGACCAAGUAUGAUAAAAGCAGAUGCCAUCCCACCUGGGACUAGGGCUGUCCUUGGCAUGCCAGCUCACUUCACCCUCAGAGCUAGUAGGCAGUGGUCACUGGCCCUUACUCCUUAACUUGGGUCCUGCAGAGACAGAUCAAGGUCAGGGACAGGACUCCUUAAGGACAUCUGGGUAACCCUCCUUCUCCAGGCCUCCAAGGUGAUGGGAAGCAAACAUGCAUGGUUAAAAUAAGAAUCUUCGAGACGGACUGGAGAGAUUGUUCAGUGGUUAAGGCAUGUAGUGCUCUGGCAGAAGACAUCCAUGUCAGGUGGAUCACAACCCCUGUAUCUCCAGCUCCAGAGGACCACUCUUCCUGCCUCCAGAGGCAUGUCCACUUGUGUGUGUACAAUCCUGUGCAUACAGAUGAUUUUACAAAGAACAAAUAAAUUUUUUUUUCAAGAAUCCAAGAGCAAAGCCCAGUGAAUGCUAGAGCCUUCAUUCAAGAGAGGCAUUACAAACUGGGUAGGAGUCAAAGGUGCUGAGACUUACCUGAGAAGACAGUUUCCUCCCCUAGCCCCUGCUCCAGGCACAGGACUGUGCAUUAAACAGCCUGCUUCUCAGACCAUCCCAGUUUGCACUUCUCAAUUCUCACGGUACAUCUAGGAACGUGACAUCCUUGGAACUUGGUUGGACCCCUGAACAGCAGACCUGAGAUCCCUGUAUGUCAAACAGGGACCAGUAGGAGGUGGGAAGCUAGAGCCCUUUGAGGUCCCCCAGAAGUCUGGUUUCUAUAUUAUAUCUGGCAUUGAGAAGCUGGAACCUGCAGGCAGGGGAAGCUGGGAGGGGUGGUCUUUCUCCAAGGCUAGGGAUUCUAUCUCUGAUGGCUCAGGCUAGCUCUGAUCAGUAAGUUACCGCCUGGGCUAGUGUCUUAGGGUUUCUGUUGCUAUGGUGAAACACCAGGACCAUAAACAACUUGGCGAGGAGGAAAGGAUUUGAUUUCAGUUUACAGUUUCACAUUGUAGCCCAUCACUGAAAGAAGUCAUGGCAGGAGCUUGGAUGCAGGAGUCGGUACAGAGGCACCAUAUAGGGUGCUGCUUACUGACUUGCUCCUCAUGGCUUACUCAACGGCUUUCUUAUACACCCCAGGACCACCUGCCCAGGAGUAGCACUACCCACAGUGACCUGGGCCUUCCCAAAUCAAUUACCAAUCAGGAAACUGCACCACAGGCUUGUCUACCAACCAAAGGGAUGGGGGGUCUUCUCAACUGAGGGUCUUUCUUCCUAAAUGACUCUAACUUGUGUCAAGUUGGCAUAAAAAUACCCAGC
rnacentral:lncRNA from 1 species